UUAGCUCAGCCGGACAGAGCAAUUGCCUUCUAAGCAAUCGGUCACUGGUUCGAAUCCA
rnacentral:tRNA from 11 species